rnacentral:rRNA from 1 species
UACGUAGGGUGCAAGCGUUGUCCGGAUUUAUUGGGCGUAAAGAGCUCGUAGGCGGUUUGUCGCGUCGGAUGUGAAAACCCAGGGCUCAACCCUGGGCCUGCAUUCGAUACGGGCAGACUAGAGUAUGGCAGGGGAGACUGGAAUUCCUGGUGUAGCGGUGAAAUGCGCAGAUAUCAGGAGGAACACCGGUGGCGAAGGCGGGUCUCUGGGCCAAAACUGACGCUGAGGAGCGAAAGCGUGGGGGAGCGAACAGG